rnacentral:lncRNA from 1 species
UGCUGCUGCUAUAAAUUCCAAACCCCCAAACCCUUGUCUGAUUUCCCCAACAUCACUACUGUUUCACAAUAAUAACCCAUCGCCGGAGCCACCAGCUCCCACGUAUUUACCGCCGCCGUCGUCCGCCAUGGAAAUCCGGCGGCUAGAGGCGUACUCCGCUGAAAAUGCACACAUGAGCCACGUCACUCCCUCCAGAAAUAAACCAGUCAAACUACCGAAUCCUCCCACAUACAUAAAAUCACAGUGACCAAGAAAACAAGUGCUUACAUUUAUUU